rnacentral:sRNA from 1 species
ACGACCGAUUGUAAAGCUAUAAAUGUCUCAUUAUAAUAAUUUUGAUUUAAUAAUCAAAAUGGAAUUAUAAUAUAAU